CCUCUCAUCCCACUAUCCUGGCAAAUAACCUCUAUGUUGUCGCCAACUUCAAAGACAGCUUAUGUUGAGGCUCAACAAGCUGAAUUCCAGCUGGUCCACUACUCGGAAAUUUUAUUUCGAACUUUGGGUAAUUUGGUAGCUUUCCUGUUUCUAUCUGCUUACCAGCCAUUAACACACUUCUCCUUUCACUUCCUGGGGUAUUUAAAAGAUAAGGGAAGUCAAAUCUACUAUAAUUCAACAAAGUUCAGCUGCUUGGCCUACAUUUCCUUAAACAAAAUCUACUCUAAAUCGGCUAGUAAAAAAUUUGCAUCGUAUUUAAAAGUACAUAAACAUCAAAGCUCAACUGUAAAUUUAAACCAA
rnacentral:lncRNA from 1 species